CAAGCGAAUAAGCGCACAGGGCGGAUGCCUUGGCGGUAGAAGGCGACGAAGGACGUGAAAAUCUGCGAUAAGCCUCGGGGAGCUGAUAAUAAGCUUUGACCCGGGGGAUUUCCGAAUGGGAGAACCCAACUGUAUUUAUACAGUUAUCAAUUACUGAAUACAUAGGUAAUUUGAAGCGAACCCAGGGAACUGAAACAUCUAAGUACCUGGAGGAAAAGAAAUCAACCGAGAUUCCCUAAGUAGCGGCGAGCGAACGGGGAUCAGCCCAGAUUCAACCAUCUCUUUUAACUUAACAAAAUGUUCUGGAAAGUUCAGCCAUAGUAGGUGAUAGCCCUGUAUGUGAAAAGUUAAAAAAGUGUGAAUCGAUGAGUAGGACGAGGCACGUGAAACCUUGUUUGAACAUAGGGGGACCAUCCUCUAAGGCUAAAUACUAACUACCGACCGAUAGUGAACCAGUACCGUGAGGGAAAGGCGAAAAGAACCCCGGCGAGGGGAGUGAAAUAGAACCUGAAACCGUGUGCGUACAAGCAGUAGGAGCCCAUUUAUUGGGUGACUGCGUACCUUUUGUAUAAUGGGUCAGUGAGUUACUUUUAGUGGCAAGCUUAACUUUCUAAGGGAGGCGAAGGGAAACCGAGUCUUAAUAGGGCAUUUAGUCGCUAGGAGUAGACCCGAAACCAGACGAUCUAUCCAUGGCCAGGGUGAAGGUGGGGUAAUACCUACUGGAGGCCCGAACCCACCUAUGUUGCAAAAUGGGGGGAUGAGCUGUGGAUAGGAGUGAAAGGCUAAUCAAGUCUGGAGAUAGCUGGUUCUCCCCGAAAACUAUUUAGGUAGUGCCUCAUGUAUUACUCUCGGGGGUAGAGCACUGUUUCGGCUAGGGGGACAUCCCGUCUUACCAAACCGAUGCAAACUCCGAAUACCGAGAAGUAGAGCAUGGGAGACACACAGCGGGUGCUAACGUCCGUUGUGGAAAGGGAAACAACCCAGAUCGCCAACUAAGGUCCCAAAAUUACAGUUAAGUGGGAAACGAAGUGAGAAGUCAAAGACAGCCAGGAGGUUGGCUUAGAAGCAGCCAUCCUUUAAAGAAAGCGUAACAGCUCACUGGUCAAGUCGACUUGCGCGGAAGAUUUAACGGGGCUAAAACUGUGUACCGAAGUUGCGAAUGCUUAUCUUUUGAUAAGCGUGGUAGGGGAGCGUUCUGUAAGCCUAUGAAGGUGUGCUGCGAGGCAUGCUGGAGGUAUCAGAAGUGAGAAUGCUGACAUGAGUAACGAUAAUGCGGGGGAAAAACCUGCACGCCGAAAACCCAAGGGUUCCUGCGCAACGUUAAUCGACGCAGGGUUAGUCGGUUCCUAAGGCGAGACCGAAAGGUGUAGUCGAUGGACAACAGGUUAAUAUUCCUGUACCGCGUUUACUGCGAUGGGGGGACGGAGAAGGCUAAGCUUACCGGGUGUUGGUUAUCCCGGGAAAAGUAUGUAGGUAGGAAACUUUAGUAAAUCUGGGUUUCUAUUACUGAGGUACGAGACCAUCGAUUUUUUAAUCGAGAAGUAGCUGAUGCCACGCUUCCAAGAAAAUCCUCUAAGCUUCAGGUAAAACGUGACCGUACCCCAAACCGACACAGGUGGGUGGGAUGAGAAUUCUAAGGCGCUUGAGAAAAUUCUGGUGAAGGAACUAGGCAAAUUGGUACCGUAACUUCGGGAGAAGGUACGCCUUUGUUGGUGAUGGAACUUGCUUCCUAAGCUGACGAAGGUCUCAGAAACCAGGUGGCUGCGACUGUUUACAAAAAACACAGCACUCUGCAAACUCGUAAGAGGACGUAUAGGGUGUGACGCCUGCCCGGUCCCGGGAAAGGGUUUAAUUGAUCGGGUUAGCAUUUAUGCGAAGCUCGUGAUCGAAGCCCCGGUGAACGGCGGCCGUAACUAUAACGGUCCUAAGGUAGCGAAAUUCCUUGUCGGGUAAGUUCCGACCUGCACGAAUGGCGUAACGAUGGCCACACUGUCUCCACCAGAAACUCAGUGAAAUUGAAAUAGCUGUGAAGAUGCAGUUUAAACGCGGCAAGACGGAAAGACCCCGUGCACCUUUACUACAGCUUUACAUUGGACUUUGAACCUGUUUGCGCAGGAUAGGUGGGAGGCUUUGAAGCAUAUGCGCUAGCGUAUGUGGAGCCAACCUUGAGAUACCACCCUGAUAGUUUUGAAGUUCUAACCUAGGUCCGUAAUCCGGAUCAGGGACAUUGUAUGGUGGGUAGUUUGACUGGGGCGGUCUCCUCCUAAAGAGUAACGGAGGAGCACAAAGGUUCCCUCAGCGCGGUCGGCCAUCGCGUUGUGAGUGCAAAGGCAUAAGGGAGCUUAACUGCGAGACAGACAGUCGAGCAGGAGCGAAAGCUGGUCUUAGUGAUCCGGUGGUUCUGAAUGGAAGGGCCAUCGCUCAACGGAUAAAAGGUACGCCGGGGAUAACAGGCUGAUUCCUCCCAAGAGUUCACAUCGACGGAGGAGUUUGGCACCUCGAUGUCGGCUCAUCACAUCCUGGGGCUGUAGCAGGUCCCAAGGGUAUGGCUGUUCGCCAUUUAAAGUGGUACGCGAGCUGGGUUUAGAACGUCGUGAGACAGUUCGGUCCCUAUCUGCCGUGUUCGUUGGAAACUUGAAGGGCGCUGCUCCUAGUACGAGAGGACCGGAGUGGACGUACCCCUGGUGUUCCGGUUGUCACGCCAGUGGCAUUGCCGGGUAGCUAUGUACGGAAGGGAUAACCGCUGAAAGCAUCUAAGCGGGAAGCCCACCCUAAGAUAAGGUUUCCCUGGAUCCUAGAGAUCCCUGAAGGGUCAUUGUAGACUACGAUGUUGAUAGGUCGGGUGUGGAAGCUCAGUAAUGAGUGCAGCUAACCGAUACUAAUUACCCGUGAGGCUUGGUCU
rnacentral:rRNA from 1 species